ensembl:lincRNA
AUGGCCUAUUCUCGAAGGGAAAUGCAAACUGAAAAGGGGCAGCGCUCAGAAUGUGUGCAAACUUUAAAUGGUGAACCUGAAGCUGUCGAUGUAAAAGAUCUACACGUCGUGAAGAUUGAACCUCAAGAUAUGGUAACCAGAAAUUCAACAGAGGACCGCAAUGCAGAAGAUAAUUUGACGAGCAGAAUGGCCAAAGAUAACUAUUUGAAGACCAUCGCUGAUACAAUGGCAGCUUCAUCCACUACCGAAGACAUGAACAAUCGUGGAAUUAUUUGCCACAACCCUGUACUUCAUGAGCAGGAAUCAGCCAAAGAAGCAUCAGCAAGCCAUAAAACGCCGAAACAAGAUGUCAUCCAAAAAGAAAUUGUGGAAAUCCAGCAUAUGCUCAUGAGAUUUCAUCAAAUGAAAAAUUCUGGAAUCUUGACUCCUGGAGAAAUCAACAAUAUGAUGUCCUUGAGGAACAGGUUGAAAAUGCUGAAACAGAAACAUUCUCGUCUAAAGGCAGAAGCUGAACGGCAGAGAAGGCGACGGCAUGAACUUAAGAAUAAACUGUUCAUGCUUGCCAAUGAUCAUCACAGCCUACAGAAUUUUGCGCGAGGGAAGCACGGGAGACCAAGUUUGGAAACGGAUAAACCGGAACUAUUAUGCGUUAUCAAAGAUCUCGCUGUCGGUGCUGGUGCGGUCGAUGACCGUCCACAUUCGGGGUAUUUCCAGUCUUCGAAAACUCUCAAUCAACUGACUGAAGAAUUGCAUCAACAAGGAUUUCACAUUAGUCGUGCGGCCACAUAUUUGCGUCUGACACCAAGACAGAGCGAUACGGAACAAGGAAAGAGACAUGUUUCUACAGUUCCUGUGAAAUUGAUGCGAGCUCCAAAGACUCGCCAUGAAUCUCACGUAGACACGGAUUUCACCUUGGCAACAAUAUCUUAUGUUAAGGAUUUGUGUUCAUGGUUUGGACCAAAGACCUGUUCUUUUCUAAGUAUGGAUCAUAAAGCCAGAGUUCCCAUUGGACUCACCAGUGUACCUAAUGAAGAUGUUGACGGGGUGCAGAUGGAAGAUCAUGUUGAGCAUUUCGAACAAGAUUCCGCCGCUGUUGAAACCCUCAACCUGAUGCUUUCGGUCUAUGCUUCUUGCGCAAUUUCGAACAACAUGUUGCAGUCGGCUGUCACCUACAGUGGUCCAACCUACAUCACUAUUAGGGAUGAAAAGCAUGACCGAAGCACCAUAGGUACCCAUGCCCGAGAUUUUGAACAUUUACUGGAGCUCGAAAGCUUCAAAGCGGUGAUGUGUUACGAGACCGGUGAGCUAAAGCCAAUUCUUGUUUGCAACAUUGACAGUGGGCCUGAUGAAAACCCCAGGUUACCGAAGCCAUUGCAAGUCGCCUGCAAUCGAUUCAGGGCACACAAUUUGGAUGUAUAUUUAGCUUUAACGCAAGCUCCGGGAUUUUCAAUGUACAAUCACUUGGAGCGCCGGUUAGCAAUACUCUGUCGAGAUCUAUCGGAACGUGCACUUCCAAGUGAUUCCUUUGGGAGUCACCAUCACAGCUCGGGAGACACAAAUGACUCUGAAUUGGAAGUUCAGUACAUCAAGAAAGCUGGAGAAGCGCUUGCAGAAAGGUGGUCGGGCUCUUUGCUGGACUCGUACAAUGUCACCGCCGAGUACUUGGAGGCUGGGGAUAAGUCGACUGGUGAGCUCGACAGUGUCUCUCAAAAAUGGGUGGCAAAUCACGUGCGCCAAAGCCAGUACCUUCUGCAAAUUAUAAAAUGUGAUGAUGGAACAUGCUGCAUGGAAUGGCGUACUAACUGGAACGAGAUGGUUCCAACAAGGUUCUUACCAGCACCUUUCCCUUUGCAACGGUCACAAAAUGGUCUCACAGACGUACUGACGAAAAUGAAGGUGGAAGUUGAUGACGCAGAUGGUGGAGAUACGAGAGAACUUUUCAACAUCGUGAAGAUUGAACCAGAAAAUGGGGAGGUCUUGGAAGAAAGUGAUGAGGAACCAACAAAUCAUGGUUCAACAUUUUCCUCGGGUCUGAUCGAUGCGCCACAGCUGGCUGGUCCCAGCAACUCUGUGUUAAACCGAGAAUUGCCAUCGUCCACAUCGUCUUCCAGAAUGACUACUCGGAAUUUUACAAGAUUCAGAGCAAAUCGGAAAAGGAAAUUGGGCGUUUGUGUGGAAUUUACGAAGACCUUGCGAGAGAUGCAGAGGAAGCAGCUCGAAUGGGACGCCGAUCAGAGGGAGUUGGACCGAGAGGAGAGGAGGCGGCGUGACCAGGAGAGACGAGAAGAGAAGAGGUGGUGUGAAGAGGAAGAAAGGAGGCGCGAGGAUGAAGAGAGGCGGCUCGAUGAAGAGAGGAGGCGUGAUGAAGAGGAGAGGAGGCGAGACAGAGAAAGUUUCUUUGCUUUAAAUGCGCAGCUGAUAUCCUCUAUUAAUAAUGUCGCGACGGCGCUUAUUGCUAAAAGACGUCCGAAAUGAUCGUUGAGAAGGAAGGGUUGAUUUCUUUAGCUUGUAUAUAUAUAUAUAAGGGUGAAUUUUCUCAUGUUUGUGUAUUUUGAAAUGAAAGGGAAACUGGAGGAGAACUGGGGGUGGGGGGGGGAGAAUGUGGUUGGGGGGUUUGGGUUUAUUCUUUUGAGUUGAAGGAGUUUCAUUGUGAGGUUGGAGUUGUGAGGUCCCAAACGAUGUACUCUUAACUCUUACCUUUGAGCUAUCUCUUCUUGGUUUGAAUUCGGAUUCAGCUAUAAACUCUCAUAUUGGUGUUUCACACAUGUGGUGAUUCAUCAUUGUGUGCACUGUCCUUGGGACUGAAGUUAAGCUGGGUGUUCCACCUGAAACCAUUAGUUAGUGGACAUUAAAGAUCCCAUAGUGUCAUUCGUGAAUAGAAGGCGAGCUAUCGGCGAAACCAUGAACAAAUGACAAAUUCUUGCCCCAACUGACUGCUCAGUGGGGCAACGCCAAACCACGUAGCAUAACCAAACCACAAAGAGUAAUGUAACUAUGCAGCACAACGGGUCAGCUCAAGUAUGGGAGCAUGCACCGGAGCAGCGCAUCGCUGCAUCCACUUUCAGCCAGGUCACCAGGGGCCUCCGCCUGACCAUUACCCAGGCAGAUGCCCUGCCCAUCCCAAUACUGCAACCACGAGGCACGUGGAUGGCCCAUUGGCCUCCUCCACCAACGAGGCUCCCUCUUUGAGAGAAUCUGGUGAGCAGGAUCAGCGUCGGGAAAACGAGACACAUGCUGAUGCUCACGGACUAUAAGUUGACUAUAACAAAUCUCAUUUCUCACUCAGCAAACGCUCAUUGAGCACAAAGACUGAACAGCGAUAGCUAAGGAUUCUUUGAAGAGACCUGGAAACGAAAGAGUGAAGUCUCUGUCAGAUCCUUGGUCAGAGUCCAAAUCUCACGUCCAUAAAGCAAGACUGGAAGGACCAAGGACCUGAAGACUCAGACUGUCAUCCUCCUGCAUAGGUACCGACAGCACCACGCCCCAUGAUCCAGUGAAUCCAUGUCUCUCCAGGGCCGACACAGACGUCUAUCGACCUCUGGCUCACAACAUGCGGAGACAGGAAUAUCACUGCCAAGGUAAGUGAAUCUUGCCGUGACCUCAAUAUAUUCACCACAAACAGGUUCAGACAAGACAGCAGCAUCCAAAAUGUCAUUGAAAGCCUGGAUCUUAGUUUUGACCCAGGAAACCCGUAAUCCCAGUGGAUCUGACUCCUUAUUCAGCACCUUGAGGGCCCCCGUAAGGAUAUCCAGGGUUUCCGCAAGGAUGACUGCAUCAUCUGCAAAAUCACGGUCAGAGAUCUUGACAUUCCCAAACAAUACACCGCAACUUGAUGUCUCCGACAUCCUCCCUAGAAUCCAGUCUGUACAAGCACUGAAAAGUGUGGAGGCAAGGACACACCCCUGAUGAAAACUCCAGUAACUGCUGGAAAGAAGUCAGAGAUGGAACCACCACACCUCACAGCACUUUAAGUUCCAGAGUAUAGUUCAGAAAUUAGAUUGAUCAGUUUUGGUGGUACUCCACAAAGACCGAGAAUCCUCCAGAGGGCAUCCCAAUUCACUGAAUGUAACGCUUUACAGAGAUCAACAUCGGCUGCAAGCAGCCCCUGCCAAAACUCUAAUCUGCAUUCGGUGAGGACCCGGAGAGCAAGGAUACGGUCAAUCGUUGACCUCUUUCGUGUGAAGCCCGACUGCUCUGGGUGCUGGUGCUGAAGCAGAUGGUGGUAAACUCUAUCCAGAAUUAUCCGAGCAAAGACCUUGCCCGGCACUGAGAACAGCAUCACCCCUCGGUAGUCGUUGCAUUCUUGGCGAUCACCCUUCCCUUUCCAGAGAGUAACAACAAGGCCCCUCUUACAGUCAGUUGGGAUGAUGCCCGUGUUCCCAACAGAACACAGAACUGCAUGCAACGACAUGAAUACAGCAUUUCCACCAACCUUGAGAAGUUCGGUGGGACAUCACAGAUCCCUGGAGCUUCACCCCAUUUCAACCGGUUCACCGCAGCCUGUGUUUCCACAAAUGAAGAUGGUUUUCAGUUGAUUGGAGGGUCAGCAAUAGGGAUAGUAACAGCCCUGACAUCCAUCUCAACAGCUGAUGGCUCAGCCUGGUAUAGCAGCUCAAAGUAAUCUGCCCAGCAGGUUUUCACUUUGCACUGCUCUGUCAAGAGGUCACCACCCUCUGCUCUAACUGCAGUACACCGAGUGACAGGCUUGGAGGAAUAUUUGCAAUUCUGCAGACCACAUUGCAGAACCAAACUACCAAUUGUAUCCAAACUACCAACUGUAACCAAACCACCAAGCAUAACCAAGCCACCCAGAAUAACGUAAACAUGCAGAAUAACGUCAUCACCCAGAGUAACUUAACCACUCAGCAUAACCAAACCACACAGAGUAACGUAACCACCCAGCAUAACCAAAGUACCAAGCACAUACAAACCACCCACCAUAACCAAACCACAAAGAGUCAUGUAACCACUUAACGUAACCCAACAACCCAGAGUAACUAAACCACCCAGCAUAACCAAACUACCCAGAGUAACCAAACCAUCCAGCAUAACCAAACUACCCAGAGUAACCAAACCAUCCAGCACAACCCUUGCACAGGAACUGCUUCAGCAGCACCGAUGCUCUCUCUGCAAAGAGUAUGGUACAUUGAUGAUGACGGUUAAACACAGUGAGUGGUUUGAACAAGUAAUUUUAUUUACUGCAAAAUAGUUUUCUACAGUUGAGCCACUUGAGGGCGUGAGUGCUCCAACAAAUUUCCAGACAAUUAUUCACCAUUCUAAAUACAAGGUGCAACAUCCCUUUAUUGAAUCGUCAAUUAUAAGUCUAACCUAAUUCUGGUACUCCGCCUGAAAGCAAAUUCAUUGUCCCCAAAGUAGCCUCACGUCGAGGAUUACACUGGGUGGUUUGCCUUUGCCUUCCCAGUGUAUGAAUUUGUUUAGGAUGCUGACGAUAGCUCACAUAAUCUUGGCGAAGGAGACAAAGGAUCUUCAACAUCCACCAACGAAUGCUGGUAGACAGGUCCAUCCGAUGGAUAUGCAUACGUUGAUGUUUCACCUUAUGUGCAAAAUACAAGGAUGGCAGUUGAUACCUGGGUCAGGAUUCAAAUAGAGAUGCGACAGCUCAGAGAUGAGUGUGCACAUAUGCAAGCUAUCCUGCCAGACCAUCAAUUAUACAUACAUGUGCUAAUAUAUGUGAAAUCAAUGAAUGCCAAUCAAGAAGCCAAUUGAUUGGCCUUCCAUUGGCACCAUUGAAUAAAUCAAUGAAAUAAUUCAUAAAAUCAAUGUCAUUAUUUCCCCAAUGGAAAUGUACAGGUGUGCGAUAAUGCUUUGCUAGGAGGUUGGAGCUGUUUUAGCAGUGACGAGAAUAAGGUAGGAAUGAAUAAAAAAAGAAGAUAUUUUUGAAUGAAACACCAUGAAUUGGUUAGAGUACUUACUCUGAGUCUGGUAGGUCGGUGGUUCAAUACCGAGACAUACCAAGGUAUAAAAAUGACCGGGCGUAGUGGCUUGCGCCUGUAAUCCGGCUACUCGGAGGCUUGGGUUGGAGGAUCGCUUGAGGACGGGAUCUCUGCGUUGGGCCGCGCUACGAGAGGGUGUAGGGCAGCCCGGAAUCAUGGCGAAACCCAAUCCUUAUCCCUGUGUCGUAAGAGGCGACCC